ensembl:lncRNA
UGAGGAAAGGAAGGGAUGAAACAGAGGAGAAGGGGAGAGAGCAGCAGAUCGCGUAGAGAGUUAGUGACACACUGGGACAGAGAUGGAUCCAGUGUGAGACGCGAGCGCUCAGUUCCCCGCUGGACAAGAGUCACUGAGUCAUUAGCAUUGCAGAUGUUGGCGAUAGGAAGUGUGAAUGGGCUUCAUGCAUCGGUUCGGCUGAAUCCCAGCAUUGUCUACGGGCCCAGCACUAGCCUUACUGUACGUUGUGUGUCUCUCUCCCCUUCUCGCUCCCCUUCUCACCUCAACCAGAAGUGUUGAGGUGUGAGGGGACACACGCUCCUGGUGAAACCUCGCUGCUGACCGGACCUGAUUGGUUACAGAGCCUGAGCCCAUAGCUGAACACAAGCAGCCCAGAGGGAGCUGAUGGACCAAUGGACACGCGAACAGACAGACGGACGGACGGUCGGACGGACGGACGGAUGGACGGACAGCCCUCCGGCCCAGUUGCCCAACAUUUUUCCUGAGUCACGACGGCAGCGGACACACCCCUUCCCCUUCACGGCCGCGUCUCGCUCUGCGGGGGGACGGUGGCCGGGGGGACGGGGGACGGGGUUUGGGGGCACAGAGAGAGUCGCACACCCUCGGCGAUGGAGGGCCUAGCUAUGCAAACAGUGCGGCGGGGAGGGGAGGAAAUUGAAUUUCCCCCGCUUUAAAGAAAGGCCUCCCCACCCCAUCAACAGCAGCUUAGAGAGCCUGAAGUCCAGCAGGAUUCAUCUGCCACGGAGGUCUGGCCAAUCAGGUUACCUAUUUUUUUACACACACACACACACACACACACACCCACACACACAAACACACACACACGAACACGCACACUUAAACCACUUAGUAUAAAAGGGCACACACUAGACUUGCACGCACUAACCUAAACUUUGCACGCACACACACUCACACACCCAACCCCCUUCCUCUCAACACCCGCCUUAGCAUCAACAAUCAACAAUCUAUGGCAUUGUGGAGCCUGUGAUCCAGUGACCUCUGACCCCUGGGGUUAACCUCGGAGCGGCCAGUGUUGAGAGGUGACCCAGGCGGCUCAUUGCUCGGCAGCAGAGCCCCCAUGAGAACCCGAGGGAAGCCGCCCAGCCUGCCCUGCUGCCGAGGAUGAGGCCAGGAUGAAGGCUUAAAGUGGGUCCUGAUGUCCGGACACGCCACUUCUAGCUUUGCUGCUACCCCCCCC